rnacentral:rRNA from 1 species
CACGGUCCAAACUCCUACGGGAGGCAGCAGUGGGGAAUAUUGCACAAUGGGCGAAAGCCUGAUGCAGCAACGCCGCGUGGGUGAUGAAGGCCUUCGGGUCGUAAAACUCUGUCCUCAAGGAAGAUAAGGACGGUACUUGAGGAGGAAGCCCCGGCUAACUACGUGCCAGCAGCCGCGGUAAUACGUAGGGGGCUAGCGUUAUCCGGAUUUACUGGGCGUAAAGGGUGCGUAGGCGGUCUUUCAAG